AAUGUAUUCGAUACUAAUAAGUCGAUUCUCGAAUCACCAUCUCUAGUCUUUCGGUAAAAAUCAAAUUGUUUUUUUUUUUUUUAAAAUGACUAGUAGACUCUUUAAUUAUUUAAAAAGUGAUUUAAUUGUUAUAAAUUACCAACAAUUACGUCAUGGACAUAAAAUGCGUGGAAAACCACCUGGUGUUGCUAAAAAUCUUCAACAACGAUUAGAAGAACUUAAUCGUAAAGAUCCAGAAGUUGACUUUAAAGUUGACAUUGGGUUUCAACCCUCAAAAAUGUCUAGGUCGGCACUUAGUGCCGGUUAUAUGGAGUACGUCAAACAAGUGAGAAAAAAUCCAGAAAUGGAAAGGAAAGCGCGUAGAAAAGAGUUGUUACUCGAUCUAGAGGAUGUUAAAAAAGAUUGGUGGUCAACAUCAGCACCUCAGCAGAUAAAAACAAUAUCUGAUCAUUACGGUGUCUAUAAUGAUUUAUUUGGAGACGCGUAUUUUUAUCCAGUAUUACCAAUGGAUAUUAAAUACGAGUACAAUAGUAGUGAAAUAAUUCCAGUAGUUCAUCGAGGAAAUUUAAUUAAGUCUUCAGAAACUCAACAACCGCCAAAAAUAAACUACGAAGCUGCACCUGAUUCUCUUUGGACUCUACUGCUCACUACUCCUGAUGCUAAUUUUACUAGCAGAGAACUUGAGUACUGUCAUUGGUUCAUUGGAAAUAUACCCGGUAACGAUAUUGAUAAAGGCGAUCUUUUGGUUGAUUACAUGAGACCUAUUCCUCCAAUGGGAAUGGGAUUGUGUAGAUAUAUUUUCGUACUUUAUAAGCAAGAUAAAAAAAUUGAUUUUACUGAAUACAAAAAAGAACAGCCUUGUUUAGAGUUGGAAAAACGUAACUGGAAAACAUUGGAUUUUUAUCGUAAAUAUCAAGACAUUAUAACUCCCGCGAGCAUUGCAUUUUUUCAAGCUGAAUGGGAUCAAAGUCUGAAAGAUUUUUACCACAAUACGCUACAAAUGAAAUCUCCAAAGUUCGAGUACGAUUUUCCAGCUCCGUACAUUCGCCCUCAAGAAUGGUUCCCCUUGAAACAGGCAUUCAAUUUAUAUUUGGACCGUUACCGUGAUCCUAAAGACAUAAACAAAGAUUUCUUACUGAAGAAAUUAAAAAAAACACAUCCUUUCAAAGGUCCAGAACGACCACUGAAAUACCCACGAGCUUAUGCCUUCGAUCAAGACAUGCCGUCGUGGUUGAAGACGGAAUUAGUGAAGGAACAAUUAAAACAGGGUAGAAUUAAUGAUAUUGAAUAAGUUAUACUACUAUUGAAAGUUUCCAUUGGUACGGACGACCGAUUCUUGAUCACUUUGAGUGUACAUUCAGACCGGCAAGGUGGUGGUGGUCCACUCCACAUCCCAUUUUCUCGGCAUGUAGGCCUUUUAACUGGUUCAAGAGGUGUUACAUAUCCAGG